rnacentral:tRNA from 1 species
GGAAAGGUGGCCGAGUGGUUUAAGGCGCACGCUUGGAAAGCGUGUAACGGGGCAACUCGUUCGCAGGUUCAAAUCCUGUCCUUUCCGCCA